rnacentral:misc_RNA from 1 species
UGGUAUGGGUUACGAAGAAGUUACGUCAUUACAUGCUAGCUUACCAGGUUAUCAUUAUCUCUAGGAUGGAUCCGUUGAAGUACUUCGAUCCAAUCAAUCGAUCGAUCAAGAGGCUAAUCUCUUUUGUUUAGGCCAGUAGCUAAAAAAAAGUCCUCGCUUUCUCUUGAACAAGGGAAGGACAGCAUAGCAUUAGCUUCAAUUGAACAAGCUCAACCUUGAAAAAGAAAGGGGGUAGGCCGAAGAACCGUUGAACGCUUCAACUUGGCCACUGAAGAAGGCGAAGGCUGGGCAAGAGACUGGGCCAACUUACUGCCAUGCCAUGGUUGAAGCUUUAAGCUCUAUAGACGGAACUCUUUUUUAGGUAUUAGAGGAGAGAGGACACCACUCAGCACCCCACGGAGCGGUAAGGUUCAAUGCCUAACAAAAACAAACGGCCAAAAGAAAAAAAAAAUGUAUGGCUGAGAGGAGAAGAAAAAGAACGCAUGCAUGGAGUCUGUCGGAAAUUAUAAAAUCUAUGAAAAGACAUCUAAGGCUAAGAAAGAAUUCAAGAAAGUUCAUUACUGAGAGAAGUGGUGAUCUCGUCUUGCUUGCUGGGAGAGAGGAAGCUUCCGGACCACCUUUUUCAGCCAGAUAGCGAGCGAUCACUCAGCAAUGAACACUAACUGAAAGCGGCCGAGAAUGAGUACCUAUCCCUUACGGGAAUCGAA